AGAGCGAACGCUGGCGGCAGGCCUAACACAUGCAAGUCGAACGGACCCUUCGGGGUUAGUGGCGGACGGGUGAGUAACACGUGGGAACGUGCCUUUUGGUUCGGAAUAGCUCCUGGAAACGGGUGGUAAUGCCCGAAUGUGCCCUUCGGGGGAAAGAUUUAUCGCCAUUAGAGCGGCCCGCGUCUGAUUAGCUUAGUUGGUGAGGUAAAGGCUCACCAAGGCUACGAUCAGUAGCUGGUCUGAGAGGAUGACC
rnacentral:rRNA from 1 species